rnacentral:rRNA from 1 species
GAUGAACGCUGGCGGCGUGCUUAACACAUGCAAGUCGAACGAUGAUGCCCAGCUUGCUGGGUGGGUUAGUGGCGAACGGGUGAGUAACACGUGAGUAACCUGCCCUUGACUCUGGGAUAAGCCUGGGAAACUGGGUCUAAUACCGGAUACGACCAUCUGGCGCAUGUCAUGGUGGUGGAAAGCUUUUGUGGUUUUGGAUGGACUCGCGGCCUAUCAGCUGGUUGGUGGGGUAAUGGCCUACCAAGGCGACGACGGGUAGCCGGCCUGAGAGGGUGACCGGCCACACUGGGACUGAGACACGGCCCAGACUCCUACGGGAGGCAGCAGUGGGGAAUAUUGCACAAUGGGCGCAAGCCUGAUGCAGCGACGCCGCGUGAGGGAUGACGGCCUUCGGGUUGUAAACCUCUUUCAGUAGGGAAGAAGCGAAAGUGACGGUACCUGCAGAAGAAGCGCCGGCUAACUACGUG